rnacentral:rRNA from 1 species
GAAAGCCAAUCUCAGUUCGGAUUGUAGGCUACAACUCGCCUACAUGAAGUUGGAAUCGCUAGUAAUCGCGAAUCAGAAUGUCGCGGUGAAUACGUUCCCGGGUCUUGUACACACCGCCCGUCACACCACGAGAGUUUACAACACCCGAAGUCAGGUGGCCCUAACCGCAAGGAGGGAGCUGCCUAAGGGUGGGGUAGAUGAUUGGGGUGAAGUCGUAACAAGGUAGC